UGGGGAAUAUUGAACAAUGGGGGGAACCCUGAUCCAGCCAUGCCGCGUGUGUGAAGAAGGCCUUAUGGUUGUAAAGCACUUUAAGCGAGGAGGAGGGUACUGGUAUUAAUACUACCAGCUACUGGACGUUACUCGCAGAAUAAGCACCGGCUAACUCUGUGCCAGCAGCCGCGGUAAUACAGAGGGUGCGAGCGUUAAUCGGAUUUACUGGGCGUAAAGCGUGCGUAGGCGGCUAAUUGAGUCGGAUGUGAAAUCCCCGAGCUUAACUUGGGAAUUGCAUUCGAUACUGGUUAGCUAGAGUGUGGGAGAGGAUGGUAGAAUUCCAGGUGUAGCGGUGAAAUGCGUAGAGAUCUGGAGGAAUACCGAUGGCGAAGGCAGCCAUCUGGCCUAACACUGACGCUGAGGUACGAAAGCAUGGGGAGCAAACAGG
rnacentral:rRNA from 1 species